UUGAACAGGAUUUCCUAUAUGGUGAGAUCCAAAGGUGAAGAACACACUACUUUGCUAUGAUCUGCUUUGCUAACCAGGUAGGCUGCUGCAUUUUAUUCCUCUGGAAGCUUUUCCAGAGUAGCGGUGGUUCUCUGUGGUGGUGGUAAUGAGUUCCUCCUACCAAAAGGGAACUGAAUUGAAAGAGACUUGUGAAAACAAUGCUGCAGCUAGCAACAGCAAAGAAUGAACAUGAAAGGUGAAAGCUGGUCUUCUGCAUGUGUAGUAUUGAGUAGAUCAUUUUGCGGGAGCUUAACUAUACAUUUGUCUCUGUUCUUCGUGAUUUUGUGUCAACUUCAUGCUGGUCAGGCAGAACACCCUUAUGCAUGAGGUAUUCAGACAACAGAAGUUAUUUGCUUGGUUGUAGACCCUGGUGCUACAGAAUCAGCAGAAUGACUUCAGAGCUGUUCCCUCCUCCUGCUGUUGCUUGUAGCCUAUGAUCGAGGGUUUCUUGUGGCCGAAUGUCUUUAACUGUCACAUAAACUGUCACCAUCUGAUGUCUGAUCUCACACCCAGGCCUACGCGUAUGUGCAGCCAGAGUAGGACCAGGGAGAUCAAGUAUUGCAGGUGAAGAGCUCCUUCAUGGUCUGAUAUGCUAACUAUUCUGUGGGAAUUAAUUGGUCAUGCAACCCAUAGUUUUGCUAAUGUUUUUCUUGGCAAGAGUGAACCGACACGGUUUGUUUGUAAUUACACAGUUUCCCUUUGAUUUCUACUUCCCAGUUAUGCCGAUGGGCAGCAUUUUUGGCUAUUAAGGAAUCUAUGUAUAUUUUAACACCAUAUACAGUGAUGAUAUAUGAAUUGAUAUUGGAACAAUGGCCAAAUUCCUUCAUGGUUUAUUAAUACUAUUCCAAAUUCAAGCAGCUUUGAUUGAAUGCUUGCUCAGAUGCAUGCUGUUUUAUAGCCAUGUGGUGCUUUUUGCAAAGAGGAAUUUUCUUGUGACUUGUUUGUGCAAAUACCAGACCUGGUCAAAACAUGGAAUUU
ensembl:lncRNA